rnacentral:rRNA from 1 species
UGAAUACGAGACGCUAAGGCGUCGAAGUAGUGUAUGUCAUACUUCCAAGAAAAGCUUGCACUGUCAUAAGUAAAAAAUGCCUGUACCAUAACCGACACAGGUGGGUAGGUAGAGUAUACUAAGGGGCGCGAGAUAACUCUCUCUAAGGAACUCGGCAAAAUAACUCCGUAACUUCUGGAGAAGGAGUACCUUAUUCUAUAAGGUUGCAAUAACAAGAUCCAAGCAACUGUUUAUCAAAAACACAGGUCUCCGCUAAGUCGUAAGACGAUGUAUAGGGGCUGACGCCUGCCCAGUGCCAGAAGGUUAAAGAAGUCGGUUAGCAUUAGCGAAGCUGGUAACUGAAGCCCUGGUGAACGGCGGCCGUAACAAUAACGGUCCUAAGGUAGCGAAAUUCCUUGUCGGGUAAGUUCCGACCCGCACGAAAGGCGUAAUGAUUUGGAUACUGUCUCGGAGAGGGGCUCGGUGAAAUAGACUUGUCUGUGAAGAUGCGGACUACCUGCACCAGGACAGAAAGACCCUAUGAAGCUUUACUGUAACUUGAAAUUGAAAUUGGACUUUAUUCGCGCAGUAUAGGUGGGAGGUGUUGAUUAUAAUCUUGCGGGAUUAUUGGAGCCAUCAGUGAGAUACCACUCUUGUAAUGUUAGAUUUCUAACUUUGAAUCAUUAUCUGGUCAAAGGACAGUUUCAGGCGGGCAGUUUGACUGGGGCGGUCGCCUCCCAAACGGUAACGGAGGCGUACAAAGGUUUCCUCUGAACGGGUAGAAAUCGUAUCUAGAGUGUAAAGGCAUAAGGAAGCUUGACUGUGAGACCUACAAGUCGAACAGGGACGAAAGUCGGUCUUAGUGAUCUGACGGUACUGAGUGGAAAGGCCGUCACUCAACGGAUAAAAGUUACUCUAGGAUAACAGGCUGAUCUCCCCCAAGAGUUCACAUCGACGGGGAGGUUUGGCACCUCGAUGUCGGCUCAUCGCAUCCUGGGGCGGUAGUACGUCCCAAGGGUUGGGCUGUUCGCCCAUGAAAGCGGUACGCGAGCUGGGUUCAGAACGUCGUGAGACAGUUCGGUCCAUAUCCGGUGUAGGCGUUAGAAUAUUGAGAGGAGCCUUCUUUAGUACGAGAGGACCGAGAAGGACAUACCUCUGGUGUACCAGUUAUCGUGCCAACGGUAAACGCUGGGUAGCUAUGUAUGGAGUGGAUAAUCGCUGAAAGCAUCUAAGUGGGAAGCCCACCUCAAGAUAAGUAUUCUCA